rnacentral:rRNA from 1 species
GACGAAUGCUGGCGGCGUGCCUAAUACAUGCAAGUCGAACGCUUCUUUCCUCCCGAGUGCUUGCACUCAAUUGGAAAGAGGAGUGGCGGACGGGUGAGUAACACGUGGGUAACCUACCCAUCAGAGGGGGAUAACACUUGGAAACAGGUGCUAAUACCGCAUAACAGUUUAUGCCGCAUGGCAUAAGAGUGAAAGGCGCUUUCGGGUGUCGCUGAUGGAUGGACCCGCGGUGCAUUAGCUAGUUGGUGAGGUAACGGCUCACCAAGGCCACGAUGCAUAGCCGACCUGAGAGGGUGAUCGGCCACACUGGGACUGAGACACGGCCCAGACUCCUACGGGAGGCAGCAGUAGGGAAUCUUCGGCAAUGGACGAAAGUCUGACCGAGCAACGCCGCGUGAGUGAAGAAGGUUUUCGGAUCGUAAAACUCUGUUGUUAGAGAAGAACAAGGACGUUAGUAACUGAAACGUCCCCCGACG